rnacentral:lncRNA from 1 species
UAUUGUUAAGCAUGAAAUUCUCUAAUGGCAUGUCAAAACAUGGAGAUCCUUCAUGCUUUUCUCUUUAUUUUACAUGUAACUGUUAUUUUAAAUGAGAAAGGAUCCUGAGGUUGAUUAAAAGAGCUGAGUCGCUGUUUGAAUGGAAACAAUAGUAGAAUGAUUUGUAGAAACAAUUCAAACUAAUAAAGCGCCUACAGGCCUACAGGACAGUGGUGAACUCACACACAUCUUCACACGCACAGAUAGACCAUUGCUAUUCUUCCCGACUUAUUUUUUUUGCUACUGGUACAUUUAUAUAAGUAUUAGGGACAUUUAUGUAAUAACAGGACGUUAGCUCCUUUUGAGGUCAUCUGUCCUGGCGACUUUUUCCCCAUUUCCAGCCAUAAGCUCCUCGUUGUGACAUCAUUUUGGCUGCCGUGACCAUACCUGUGAUGUCACCAGGAGGGAUUUAGGACCUGAGGUCGGGCAUAAGCUGCAAGAGCAGAUCAGCUCACGAAGAAUAAAGGUUUUGUUUUGCCCUGCUAGCAGAAGGAGAAGGAAGCACCCACCUGCCCUUCCUCCUCUGCCUGUCCUGGUUGAGCAGGACCCCGUAAAAAAAAAAAAAAAAAGUAAAAAGCUUAAAGUUUUACAUGGCUGGUGUUGAAGGGACCCUCUGCUGCUGCCACCAAAACCCAGAGAGGCUCUGCCAGUGGACCAGGGCUGGAUCAGACCCUCCAGAGCUUGGGCACGGACCUACACUGCUGCUCCUCAGUGCUCCCAUGGCCACACCAGGAUGGCAGGAGUACAGAUACCUACAUAGGACAGAGGCCAAGAUGUCUCAUGACCCAGUCCUUACUCCACUACCUAUUAAAGAAGGAGCCAAGACGUACAUAGACAGCUUCAAUUCAGGCACCCAGAAGGACACAGAAAGGCAAGACAAUUUCACAGAGCUAACUGUGAGUAAACGCGAGGCAUUAGAGGUGCUCUCUAGAGCAAAGGGCAUGGAGAAAGAUUUGUAGGAAAUCCUCAAGUGAAAGAAGGCGCAAUAUUUUUAAAUAUAUAUUUGCAUACAUUGUUCAAAAGGCA